CAGUCGCCGCGGUAUACGAAGGGGGCUGGCGUUGCCCGGAAUGACUGGGCGUAAAGGGCGCGUAGGCGGCGGCCAAAGUCAGGCGUGAAAUUCCUGGGCUUAACCUGGGGACUGCGCUUAAUACAGGCAGUCUAGAGUGAGGAAGAGGGUUGUGGAAUUCCCAGUGUAGAGGUGAAAUUCGUAGAUAUUGGGAAGAACACCGGUGGCGAAGGCGGCAACCUGGACCGACACUGACGCUGAGGCGCGAAAGCGUGGGGAGCAAACAGGAUUAGAUACCCGUGUAGUCCCUGUCUCUUAUACA
rnacentral:rRNA from 1 species